GUCUGACAGCACACAGGUCUCGCUGGUGUCUCGGUGAUGACGCAAUUUGCACAUAUACCUCUGAAAAUAAUGAUGGUUAAUGUUGGUAAGUUGCACACUUAACAUUAAUUCAUUUGUGAUGAUUUUAAAAAGGAUUAUUUCCUUUUUAUGUUCGUUAUGUUCAUUACAUUAAGUUAUACACAAUUAGCACAAAUACCACUAAAAUAUAAUGCUAAUUGUACUAACAUUCUUAACACUGGUUUUAGCACAGCUGUCACAGUGGAACCGCAAUAGUUAAUGCAGAUGAAUCCUGGCUGAAUCUGCGUCUGCAAACUGACGACCGCCUAGCUCAGGAGGAAAAGUAAUGAGAUCGUUGUUUCACUGUUUCCUGCACUCUGCCUUGAGCACACAAAAAAUCAAAGAUGCAAGACUUACAAGCAGCAGAAACUUCCCCAAGGGAAAUCCAGGUGCAGAUUGUUCCUACAUCCCUCCUGUAAACACACAGCCACGGCUUUAAGCAGCGAACGUACUGGACCGCUGUCAGAUCUGUUUACACACCGAUGAGCGACUCCAA